GAUUGAGAGUGAAAAUGAGAGAGGGAUGAGAGGAAUGAGUAACAAACGUGAAAAUAAAAACUAAAAAUUGAAAUCUAUUUGAAAUUGUUUUUACUUUUGUUACUCCUCUCUCCUCCCCCCUCCCCCCCCCCCUCCUCUCU
rnacentral:miRNA from 1 species